GAGUUUGAUCGUGGCUCAGGAUGAACGCUAGCGGCAGGCCUAAUACAUGCAAGACGAACGGUAAGUUGUGUAGCAAUACAUGACCUAGAGUGUCGUAAGGGUGCGUAACACGUAUGCAAUCUGCCCGGAACUGGAGGAUAGCUCGCCGAAAGGCGAAUUAACACUCCAUAGGAUGGUAGGGAGGCAUCUCCUAGUCAUUAAAACUACGGUGGUUUCGGAUGAGCAUGCGGAUGAUUAGCUAGUUGGUGAGGUAACGGCUCACCAAGGCGAUGAUCAAUAGGGGAACUGAGAGGUUGAUCCCCCACACUGGCACUGAGAUACGGGCCAGACUCCUACGGGAGGCAGCAGUAGGGAAUAUUGGACAAUGGGUGCGAGCCUGAUCCAGCCAUGCCGCGUGCAGGAAGACGGCCUUCUGGGUUGUAAACUGCUUUUGCCAGGGGAUAAAAAGUCCCUGCGGGGAAAAUUGAAGGUACCUGGUGAAUAAGCCACGGCUAACUACGUGCCAGCC
rnacentral:rRNA from 1 species